rnacentral:lncRNA from 1 species
UUUAACUUAGCAUAUUUUCCCCUAUCCCCCUUUCCUUGUCUCGAUGUAUGUUUUCCUCUUCCAUGUGCACUAUUGUUUGGCUACUUGGCAGCCCUGAAACUUCUCCUUAAGGUUGAUUAUAUUUGGGGUUUGGUACAGUAAGAACUAAACCCUUGUUUUACAACCAUGCUUGAUUACUUUCCCCAAUAUGUUAUCUAUACACUUUACUUAUUU